rnacentral:rRNA from 1 species
GGAUAACCUACCCUUUAGGACCGGGAUAACCUUGGGAAACUGAGGAUAAUACUGGAUAGGCAAUUUUUCCUGUAAUGGUUUUUUGUUUAAAUGUUUUUUCGCCUAAGGAUGGGUCUGCGGCCGAUUAGGUAGUUGGUUAGGUAACGGCUUACCAAGCCGUUGAUCGGUACGGGUUGUGAGAGCAAGAGCCCGGAGAUGGAACCUGAGACAAGGUUCCAGGCCCUACGGGGUGCAGCAGGCGCGAAACCUCCACAAUGUGAGAAAUCGCGAUGGGGGGAUCCCAAGUGCCAUUCUUAACGGGAUGGCUUUUCAUUAGUGUAAAAAGCUUUUGGAAUAAGAGCUGGGCAAGACCGGUGCCAGCCGCCGCGGUAACACCGGCAGCUCUAGUGGUAGCAACUUUUAUUGGGCCUAAAGCGUCCGUAGCCGGUUUAAUAAGUCUCUGGUGAAAUCCUGUAGCUUAACUGUGGGAAUUGCUGGAGAUACUAUUAGACUUGAGACCGGGAGAGGUUGGAGGUACUCCCAGGGUAGAGGUGAAAUUCUGUAAUCCUGGGAGGACCGCCUGUUGCGAAGGCGUCUAACUGGAACGGUUCUGACGGUGAGGGACGAAAGUUAGGGGCGCGAACCGGAUUAGAUACCCGGGUAGUCCUAACUGUAAACGAUGCGGACUUGGUGUUGGGGUGGCUUUGAGCUGUCCCAGUGCCGAAGGGAAGCUGUUAAGUCCGCCGCCUGGGAAGUACGGUCGCAAGACUGAAACUUAA